rnacentral:rRNA from 1 species
ACUUAAAUUGAAGAGUUUGAUCAUGGCUCAGAUUGAACGCUGGCGGCAGGCCUAACACAUGCAAGUCGAGCGGUAGCACAGAGAGCUUGCUCUCGGGUGACGAGCGGCGGACGGGUGAGUAAUGUCUGGGAAACUGCCUGAUGGAGGGGGAUAACUACUGGAAACGGUAGCUAAUACCGCAUAACGUCGCAAGACCAAAGUGGGGGACCUUCGGGCCUCAUGCCAUCAGAUGUGCCCAGAUGGGAUUAGCUAGUAGGUGGGGUAACGGCUCACCUAGGCGACGAUCCCUAGCUGGUCUGAGAGGAUGACCAGCCACACUGGAACUGAGACACGGUCCAGACUCCUACGGGAGGCAGCAGUGGGGAAUAUUGCACAAUGGGCGCAAGCCUGAUGCAGCCAUGCCGCGUGUGUGAAGAAGGCCUUCGGGUUGUAAAGCACUUUCAGCGGGGAGGAAGGCGGUGAGGUUAAUAACCUCAUCGAUUGACGUUACCCGCAGAAGAAGCACCGGCUAACUCCGUGCCAGCAGCCGCGGUAAUACGGAGGGUGCAAGCGUUAAUCGGAAUUACUGGGCGUAAAGCGCACGCAGGCGGUCUGUCAAGUCGGAUGUGAAAUCCCCGGGCUUAACCUGGGAACUGCAUUCGAAACUGGCAGGCUAGAGUCUUGUAGAGGGGGGUAGAAUUCCAGGUGUAGCGGUGAAAUGCGUAGAGAUCUGGAGGAAUACCGGUGGCGAAGGCGGCCCCCUGGACAAAGACUGACGCUCAGGUGCGAAAGCGUGGGGAGCAAACAGGAUUAGAUACCCUGGUAGUCCACGCCGUAAACGAUGUCGAUUUGGAGGUUGUGCCCUUGAGGCGUGGCUUCCGGAGCUAACGCGUUAAAUCGACCGCCUGGGGAGUACGGCCGCAAGGUUAAAACUCAAAUGAAUUGACGGGGGCCCGCACAAGCGGUGGAGCAUGUGGUUUAAUUCGAUGCAACGCGAAGAACCUUACCUGGUCUUGACAUCCACAGAACUUUCCAGAGAUGGAUUGGUGCCUUCGGGAACUGUGAGACAGGUGCUGCAUGGCUGUCGUCAGCUCGUGUUGUGAAAUGUUGGGUUAAGUCCCGCAACGAGCGCAACCCUUAUCCUUUGUUGCCAGCGGUUAGGCCGGGAACUCAAAGGAGACUGCCAGUGAUAAACUGGAGGAAGGUGGGGAUGACGUCAAGUCAUCAUGGCCCUUACGACCAGGGCUACACACGUGCUACAAUGGCAUAUACAAAGAGAAGCGACCUCGCGAGAGCAAGCGGACCUCAUAAAGUAUGUCGUAGUCCGGAUUGGAGUCUGCAACUCGACUCCAUGAAGUCGGAAUCGCUAGUAAUCGUAGAUCAGAAUGCUACGGUGAAUACGUUCCCGGGCCUUGUACACACCGCCCGUCACACCAUGGGAGUGGGUUGCAAAAGAAGUAGGUAGCUUAACCUUCGGGAGGGCGCUUACCACUUUGUGAUUCAUGACUGGGGUGAAGUCGUAACAAGGUAACCGUAGGGGAACCUGCGGUUGGAUCACCUCCUUACCUUAAAGAA